rnacentral:lncRNA from 1 species
AGAGUCUAAAACCACAGACAGCUUUUCUAGUUAAACAUUUGGUGUUUCUAAGACGCAUACAGAUUUGUUCCACUGUGAAAAGAACGGGGAGCUUCUUAUCAGUAAGUGUCUUCUUAUAGGAGGGCUCAGCUAAGGACCCCAGCACAUGACCUGACUUCCUUGGCGACAGGUCCAAACAGAACUUGGGGCCCUAUCACCAGGCACCACCGUCUAGUGACAACUGCCCCCCCAGUCAGUUGGCUGAAAACAGUCAGCAGCAAACAUGCUGUGCUGCUUUCCCAGGCCUCCUGGUUGCAGCCUCAGGUCCCCUCGCAGGGAAACCACUUGGCAAUGAGUGAGAGGAUGGUUCACUUGGCCCAGAAGCUUCAGGACCCUCGCCAGGAACCGUCCAACAGUCAUGGGCAGCACAGGGCAGGUCUCACCAGACCCAGCCCCUAGAUGCCCAGAGACAAGAGAGAGCCCAGGACAAGUGUCCCUAGGUUCAGCCACCAGACACUUGGAGCCACUGAUAUCUGGACAGUUUGGAAAUCGGUCAACCAAGAGCUUGGCAGAGGUCUGCACAGUAAGCACGGUGCAGGCAGGGAUUCCUCACACUCCAGUGGAGACCCUGGGGCAGGACUUCCAGGAUAACAAGAGCAGGUGCACCUUUUCUAUCUUUGACUCCUCAAUGGAGCUGAAAUCCCAGGUGCAGCCCCAGGAUGAGCGUCUCCAGGACCACUUGGUGCCUCCUGCGUUCUCUGAUGAAGAGCCCCAGGCUCCAGCCCACGCUGAUGUCCCACCUGCAGAGCUCGUGCCAACUGCAACUGCAGCUCCCUCACCAGUUCUGACCCCACAACAAGAGCCAGGACCUGAAACCCCUUCUCCACCAGCUGCAGAGCUGCAACUCCUGGUGGCUCCACAGCAAGUGCUAUCUCUUGAGCUCUACUUGGGGUCAACCCUUGACCCAUACCUGGAAUUCCUCUCCCUUAUAGAUUUAGUUAUUAUUAUAUUUAUUGUUACUCUUAUUUUCCAGAGACAGGUCAAUGACAGAAUUAUUUAAAAUAAAAUUUAAGCUUUUAGUCUUGUUUAAAAUGAUCAACUUGCUGCAUUUUCAGUGCAUUCUCAUUCAUUUGCAAUGUUGCGCAACCUUCACCACUGUCCAGUUCCAAGACAUUUUCAAUACGCAAAGGUAUUUCCUCCCUUCUCCCCUGCUGCUAGAUCCACUCAUCUUAUGUCCUUGUAAUUAAUCUAUUCUACAUUUUUCACAAAACUGCAAUCAUAUUGGUCUUUGGCUGCAGAAUCUUGGAAGCUACUGUUCAAUCUUGCUUAUUGGAGGACAGGAAAAUCCCAGAUAGAUUCCCAUGAUUUCUCAUCACAAACUAAAUUAUGCAGUGUUUUUUCAGACAAGAGAUAAGUUUUGCAGUAAAAUACAGAAAGCACCAUAAGGAAAAACACAGAGAUAGUCAUCCUACAGAGGAACAGGGAC